CCCAGAAAGGAAUUCCCCUGCGGCCCCACUGCUAUUCUUCUUCCCUGUUACCUACAUGUGAGGAGGAUGGUGACAUCAGAACCAGUGCUGCUCAUCCUAGGCUCACUCUCCACAAAAGAUGCUGCAGGAUGCCCACAGUCUUCCUCCCUGAUGACCAUCACAUUCAGGCAGUGCACUGUCAGAGGCAUAACUACAGAUCUCCCAGGAUGACCUUCGGGUGCUGUCUUGCUCUCUCAAGAGUAAGACAACAUGUGUAUCAGGUUGACACACAUAAAUUUACUUUUAGCCACACAGCCCACUUUCUCUUAGGAAAUUCACCAACUAAAUUCACUUACUUUUCAUUUCAGCCUUGAGGCGUAAAGUGCUCAGACAAUUAUUUUUGCAGUAAAAUUUGUACCCCAAGUCAUGAUAACUACAUUAUUGCAUAUCACAGCAAUGAAACCCGAGGAGAAGACAACAAACAAGAAAUAUGCAGAAAAUGCAUUGCUGUCAGCUGUUUCCACUUGUUUCAUCACAUAAACAAACCACAUCCCAUACUUGACAUUUGCAGACUUCCCUUACAUUAUGCCUGAAAAAGAAAGGGCAUCUGAACUUUCAAAUAAAAGCCAAGAUGAAGCAGGCAUUGACAGGAGCCUGCCUGAGCUUUCUAAACUGAAUCCAAGAAAGGCAAGUUUGCAAACACAGACUCUCCUGGUGCCAGCAGCUGAUCUUCAGGGAAGAGGGAGCCCAAAGUUAUUAUGAGAUCCGUGAUCAAGCCAAAUGCAUCCUGGCCUGAUUAAAUAAAAGAAAAACUGAGUACUCCAAGCAGGUAAGUGAACCAAUAAAGCUGGAGAGGCUAGCAAAGACAUAAACUACAGGUUAUGGGGACAAUAAAGGACUCCAGUGACACAUAGAUAAAGAGCAGAGCGACUUUUUCUAUUAAAAUGACCUCAAGACUAAAGACUCACUUGCUGGAGGGACAUAUAAGGUCCC